GAAUAUUGGACAAUGGGCGCAAGCCUGAUCCAGCAAUGCCGCGUGUGUGAAGAAGGCCUUCGGGUUGUAAAGCACUUUAAGUUGGGAGGAAAGCCUGAUUGUUAAUAGCAAUUAGGGGUGACGUUACCAACAGAAUACGCACCGGCUAACUCCGUGCCAGCAGCCGCGGUAAUCCGGAGGGUGCAAGCGUUAAUCGGAAUUACUGGGCGUAAAGCGCGCGUAGGCGGUUUGUUAAGUCAGAUGUGAAAUCCCCGGGCUCAACCUGGGAAUGGCAUUUGAGACUGGCAGGCUAGAGUGUGGUAGAGGUGAGUGGAAUUUCAGGUGUAGCGGCGAAAUGCGUAGAGAUCUGAAGGAACAUCAGUGGCGAAGGCGACUCACUGGGCCAUUACUGACGCUGAGGUGCGAAAGCGUGGGUAGCAAACAGG
rnacentral:rRNA from 1 species